rnacentral:rRNA from 1 species
UAGGGAAUCUUCGGCAAUGGGGGCAACCCUGACCGAGCAACGCCGCGUGAGUGAAGAAGGUUUUCGGAUCGUAAAGCUCUGUUGUAAGAGAAGAACGUGUGUGAGCGUGGAAAGUUCACACAGUGACGGUAACUUACCAGAAAGGGACGGCUAACUACGUGCCAGCAGCCGCGGUAAUACGUAGGUCCCGAGCGUUGUCCGGAUUUAUUGGGCGUAAAGCGAGCGCAGGCGGUUUAAUAAGUCUGAAGUUAAAGGCAGUGGCUUAACCAUUGUUCGCUUUGGAAACUGUUAAACUUGAGUGCAGAAGGGGAGAGUGGAAUUCCAUGUGUAGCGGUGAAAUGCGUAGAUAUAUGGAGGAACACCGGUGGCGAAAGCGGCUCUCUGGUCUGUAACUGACGCUGAGGCUCGAAAGCGUGGGGAGCAAACAGG